rnacentral:rRNA from 1 species
AUUGAACGCUGGCGGCAGGCCUAACACAUGCAAUUCGAACGAGUGGCGGACGGGUGAGUAAUGUCUAGGAAACUGCCUGCUGGAGGGGGAUAACUACUGGAAACGGUAGCUACUACCGCAUCCUAUCGGAUUUUACCCGAUGUGCUUAGCUAGUAGGUGGGGUAAAGGAUCACCUAGGCGACCAGCACUAGCUGGUCUGAGAGGAUGACCAGCCACACGGGAACUGAGACACGGUCCAGACUCCUACGGUAGGCAGCAGUGGGGAAUAUUGCACAAUGGGCGCAAGCCGGAUGCAGCCAUGCCGCGUGUAUGAAGAAGGACUUCGGGUUGUAAAGUACUUGCAGCGGGGAGGCGUUACCCGCAGAAGAAGCACCGGCUAACUCCGUGCCAGCAGCCGCGGUAAUAC